AGGAAGAGACUAAGAAAAAAGAUGGAAGAACUUGUAAGCAAGAUUGCUUGUGCUGGAUUCUGGAUGGACAGCAAGAUCCAGUUUUCACUGCUGCUGGAAAUUUUUAAACAGCAAGAAAAUAAAUCAGUGAAGAAGGAAACACAAAGCUACAAGGUGAAGCAUUCAGAUGACCCUUUGAGUCCCUUAAGCACCCAAUGCUGUUACCAAGAAAAUGUUCCUAAGUCUUUAAGGCUCAUUAUCCAAGCUGAGCAGAAUGGUCAGAGUCUGCACUCACAGGUUUUUCCUCAGCAUUUACCGUAAAUCCAAAGAUGGUUCUCUGAGACAUACACUCUGCUUUGUGAUCAAAUGACAUCUCUGGGAAAACUUCAGUGUUCUCCUUAUGCUACAGCUUUACAUAAAGUGACCUGAAGGCUGUGACAAGGAAAUACUGCACUCUGACACCACCAGCCAGGGCUUCUGAUGCUAAGAGAAAUUAAUUCCUGAGAUACCUUCUCCUGUGAAAUCUUCUGCCAAACUUCACGUACCCCCUGGCUAUCUUCCAAACCCCCUUCAAGGCCUUUCUUUGCUGCACUGCCUACAAAUCACUGUCACCUGGCAGUCUUGAGGCUGGAGGCCAUCUGUGACCAUGGUGACUUCUGAUUUAUGUCUCAGGAUGCACCAGAGCUUUGGCAUUUGUGGAAUAUAUCUUCUUUCAUACAUGGUUAAACCCCCAGCACUGGUGACAGAGACCAGGGCGUGGUACAACAGAGAAUUUUCUUGUGGAUCUAUCACAUGUGGGGGACUCCUCUGCCCCAGAGACUUUUCAAGGGACACACUAGGAAAGCUUUUUGUCUGCCAUGUGUCUCUGGAAAGAGACCAACUGUUUACCCUUUUAUAAAACCAUAUCAAGGCAAGAUAGGAAAAGACCUAAGUGGAAAACAUAUACAUUUGUGCAAUGAAAACUGUGCAAAAUCUGUGCCAAAAAAACAAGAAGAGACAUUGUUUGGGAAAACCUGUAUCAAGUGAUCAUGAAAUUAAUUUAGUGGUAGUUCAAGCAUUUUAGAGGAACAUGAUAUAUUCAACAACAGGGGCCCAAUCCUGGCUGGGCUGAAACAAUAAUAAUGCUGAAGUAGUUACAACAGAAUUCAUGAAAGUGAAGGUAAUUUCUUCUCCACAUCCAUGGAUGAUAUGUAAUGUCUACAUUGCUCCUAUCCUGCCUCUGUACAUUUUCACAUGCCCUAGCAACAAUCUGAGAUGACUUUGGAGAAAGCUGGCUUAUCUGUGCACAGAGCUGUGCUGCAGAAUCACCAUAACCUUUUUGAUUUAUUUUUCAAAGCUCUUCUGCAUGGUUUCUGUCUUGAUUUUCUUAUCAACUUGAUUUAGUACAAAUCUCUGGGGUGCAUUAUAUGAAACUGGUGUUGCUGUUGUUGAGGUAGACUCAA